CAAAAUGUAGCUUAACUAAAAGCCUUUCGCUUACACCGAAAAAACAUUUGUGAAACCCAAAUCAUUUUGA
rnacentral:tRNA from 1 species